AGCGAACGCUGGCGGCAGGCCUAACACAUGCAAGUCGAACGAACCCUUCGGGGUUAGUGGCGGACGGGUGAGUAACACGUGGGAACAUGCCUUUAGGUUCGGAAUAACUCAGGGAAACUUGUGCUAAUACCGAAUGUGCCCUUCGGGGGAAAGAUUUAUCGCCUUUAGAGCGGCCCGCGUCUGAUUAGCUAGUUGGUGGGGUAAUGGCCCACCAAGGCUACGAUCAGUAGCUGGUCUGAGAGGAUGACCAGCCACAUUGGGACUGAGACACGGCCCAAACUCCUACGGGAGGCAGCAGUGGGGAAUCUUGCGCAAUGGGCGAAAGCCUGACGCAGCCAUGCCGCGUGGAUAAUGAAGGUCUUAGGAUUGUAAAAUCCUUUCACCGGUGAAGAUAAUGACUGUAGCCGGAGAAGAAGCCCCGGCUAACUUCGUGCCAGCCGCCGCGGUAAAAC
rnacentral:rRNA from 1 species